rnacentral:misc_RNA from 1 species
GAUGAAGAACGUAGCGAAAUGCGAUAAGUAAUGUGAAUUGCAGAAUUCAGUGAAUCAUCGAAUCUUUGAACGCACCUUGCGCCCUUUGGCCAUUCCGAAGGGCAUGCCUGUUUGAGUAUCAUGAACACCUCAACUCCUCAUGGUCUUCUAUGAUGAGCUUGGACUUUGGGGGCUUGCUGGCCCAUUUGGUCAGCUCCUCUCAAAUGAAUCAGCCUACCAGUGUUUGGUGGCACCACAGGUGUGAUAACAAUCUACGCUUGAGGUUUUCCACCAGGCAACCUUCAGUAAUUGGGGUUCACUGGGGAUCACAAAUGUCUUUCUUCAGUGAGGACAGCUCUUUGAAUGUUUGAUCUCAAAUCAGGUAGGACUACCCGCUGAACUUAAGCAUAUCAAUAAGCGGAGGA